CGUGUAGGCGGUUUAGCAAGCCUGGUGUGAAAUACUUCAGCUCAACUGAAGGAACGCGCUGGGAACUGUUAGACUAGAGUGAUGGAGGGGGAGUUGGAAUUCCAGGUGUAGGGGUGAAAUCUGUAGAUAUCUGGAAGAACACAGGUGGCGAAGGCGAACUCCUGGCCAUAUACUGACGCUAAUGCGCGAAAGCGUGGGGAGCGAACAGGAUUAGAUACCCUGGUAGUCC
rnacentral:rRNA from 1 species